GGAUAACUCCGGGAAACCGGAGCUAAUACCGGAUAGUUCCUUGAACCGCAUGGUUCAAGGAUGAAAGACGGUUUCGGCUGUCACUUACAGAUGGACCCGCGGCGCAUUAGCUAGUUGGUGAGGUAACGGCUCACCAAGGCGACGAUGCGUAGCCGACCUGAGAGGGUGAUCGGCCACACUGGGACUGAGACACGGCCCAGACUCCUACGGGAGGCAGCAGUAGGGAAUCUUCCGCAAUGGACGAAAGUCUGACGGAGCAACGCCGCGUGAGUGAUGAAGGUUUUCGGAUCGUAAAGCUCUGUUGUUAGGGAAGAACAAGUGCAAGAGUAACUGCUUGCACCUUGACGGUACCUAACCAGAAAGCCACGGCUAACUACGUGCCAGCAGCCGCGGUAAUACGUAGGUGGCAAGCGUUGUCCGGAAUUAUUGGGCGUAAAGGGCUCGCAGGCGGUUUCUUAAGUCUGAUGUGAAAGCCCCCGGCUCAACCGGGGAGGGUCAUUGGAAACUGGGAAACUUGAGUGCAGAAGAGGAGAGUGGAAUUCCACGUGUAGCGGUGAAAUGCGUAGAGAUGUGGAGGAACACCAGUGGCGAAGGCGACUCUCUGGUCUGUAACUGACGCUGAGGAGCGAAAGCGUGGGGAGCGAACAGGAUUAGAUACCCUGGUAGUCCACGCCGUAAACGAUGAGUGCUAAGUGUUAGGGGGUUUCCGCCCCUUAGUGCUGCAGCUAACGCAUUAAGCACUCCGCCUGGGGAGUACGGUCGCAAGACUGAAACUCAAAGGAAUUGACGGGGGCCCGCACAAGCGGUGGAGCAUGUGGUUUAAUUCGAAGCAACGCGAAGAACCUUACCAGGUCUUGACAUCCUCUGACAACCCUAGAGAUAGGGCUUUCCCUUCGGGGACAGAGUGACAGGUGGUGCAUGGUUGUCGUCAGCUCGUGUCGUGAGAUGUUGGGUUAAGUCCCGCAACGAGCGCAACCCUUGAUCUUAGUUGCCAGCAUUCAGUUGGGCACUCUAAGGUGACUGCCGGUGACAAACCGGAGGAAGGUGGGGAUGACGUCAAAUCAUCAUGCCCCUUAUAACCUGGGCUACACACGUGCUACAAUGUACAGAGGAAAGGGGUGCUAGACCGCGAGG
rnacentral:rRNA from 1 species